rnacentral:rRNA from 1 species
CCUACGGGUGGCAGCAGUGAGGAAUAUUGGUCAAUGGGCGUACGCCUGAACCAGCCAAGUCGCGUGAGGGAAGACUGCCCUAUGGGUUGUAAACCUCUUUUGUCAGGGAGCAACGCCGGCUACGUGUAGCCGGACUGAGAGUACCUGAAGAAAAAGCAUCGGCUAACUCCGUGCCAGCAGCCGCGGUAAUACGGAGGAUGCGAGCGUUAUCCGGAUUUAUUGGGUUUAAAGGGUGCGUAGGCGGGCUUUCAAGUCAGCGGUAAAAUUGCGGGGCUCAACCUCGCCCCGCCGUUGAAACUGGCGGUCUUGAGUGGGCGAGAAGUAGGCGGAAUGCGUGGUGUAGCGGUGAAAUGCAUAGAUAUCACGCAGAACUCCGAUUGCGAAGGCAGCAUACCGGCGCCCAACUGACGCUGAGGCACGAAAGUGUGGGUAUCGAACAGGAUUAGAUACCCCAGUAGUC